rnacentral:rRNA from 1 species
UACGUAGGGGGCAAGCGUUAUCCGGAAUUAUUGGGCGUAAAGAGCUCGUAGGCGGUUUGUCGCGUCUGCCGUGAAAGUCCGGGGCUCAACUCCGGGUCUGCGGUGGGUACGGGCAGACUAGAGUGAUGUAGGGGAGACUGGAAUUCCUGGUGUAGCGGUGAAAUGCGCAGAUAUCAGGAGGAACACCGAUGGCGAAGGCAGGUCUCUGGGCAUUAACUGACGCUGAGGAGCGAAAGCAUGGGGAGCGAACAGG